rnacentral:rRNA from 1 species
AGGAGGCAGCAGUAGGGAAUAUUGGACAAUGGGCGCAAGCCUGAUCCAGCCAUGCCGCGUGAAGGACGAAGGCGCUAAGCGUUGUAAACUUCUUUUGGAUGGGAAUAAUAAUCGAGACUUGUCUUGACUUGAAGGUACCAUCAGAAUAAGCACCGGCUAACUCCGUGCCAGCAGCCGCGGUAAUACGGAGGGUGCAAGCGUUAUCCGGAAUCACUGGGUUUAAAGGGUGCGUAGGCGGUCCGAUAAGUCAGCUGUGAAAUCGCUGGGCUCAACCCAUGCAAUUGCAGUUGAUACUGUCGGACUUGAAUAGGAUUGAGGCUAGCGGAAUGCGACAUGUAGCGGUGAAAUGCUUAGAUAUGUCGCAGAACACCGAUUGCGAAGGCAGCUAGCUGGGCCCUUAUUGACGCUGAGGCACGAAAGCGUGGGGAGCAAACAGGAUUAGAUACCCGUGUAGUCCC